rnacentral:lncRNA from 1 species
UGAAUAACUUCCUUGUUUUCUUUACUGAUGUCACAUACACAGAUGAAUUCUGCUUCUCUGUGGCCUUUAAAAAACUUCUCACGGAUUCUUUGCACAACAGCAGUUGCUGACCGGCCAGAGGGAACGGAGCAGUUUUCAAUAUCCCAAAAAACUCCAAUGGGGGGAGAAGACAAAUCUAAAAGUCAAGUAACUUUAAGCCCACAAUAAAUCCACCUCCAAGCAUGAGCCACUCUGACAUUAAGCAGUGAUGCUUCUCUGAACACAAGCACACUAACUGACCGGAUACUGCAGCUCCAGGACCCGACUUUCAAGCUUAGCCCACACUUAUCUACCUACUUGGUAGUAACCAACACUGAGGAGCUGACAAAGGGUGAAGCUGUUACUGUCGUUGAUUUUGAGUUAACGCUGCAUUAACAUCUG